AGGGCUGGCAAAUGCCAUCCAGCAGCAAAACGUGGUCCUGCAAAGGGAACAUUUGUGACCCUGAAGGCUGCCUCACCUUGUGGUGCCUCUCCUGGAGCAGCUGCUUCUUCUCCCCGAAGCAUGUGACUGCAGCCAUGGGUGCUUGAGUUCUCCUUAUGCCUCACCUGUGCGUGAAGAAGCCUGAUGUUGUGUGUCAAACAGGAAGGUGGGCUAGUAGCCCAUCUGGUGUUACAAUCCACAAAUUGGAGUUGUUCCUUUGUAAUGAAGAAGGUCUUCUGGGAAGAAGCGGGAGUUCCAGACCUGCUUUUUGAGGGGCUGGUAUGAUUUACAAGCGUGUAUUAGGAGCAGCUGUCUGAAACUAAAGGAGCCACAAGCCAAAGCUCACUUGAACAUACAGGCUAAAUGCUUUGAAGACCUGUGCAAUCAUAGAAUCACAGAAUGGCUUGAAUUGGAACAGACCUUAAAGUCCAUCCAUUCCGGAUAUCCUGCCCAAGGCCCCAUCUCAACCUGGCCAUGAUGCUAGAAGGGAGUGCAGCAGGCCCAGUGGUGCCCUCUGGUGUGAUGUAGGCCAACACUGCUCUGAGAGAAGUGAAAAACAGAAACAAUCUCCCAGUCCCUCUCAUGGAAGAGACUUUUCAAAGACAUUAUAGAUAUUCUUCUAGGUACAGAUAUUAUGUACUAAACUGCCACUGACAAUCAUUGGGGAUCAACUGCCUAAGUCCAUGCUGAGUAUUGCCCUACCACCUGAAGGGUGGCCAGACAGUUUAAACUUUCUUCCUUGCAGACCACAAAACGCUCUUUGGUUUCACAAGUGUUUGAACUGAUUAUGUGUUAUCCCAAAGAUACUUUUGAAAUGCCCUUCCAACUUUCAGUUGCAUACAGUGAGUUGUCACAUAGUUCCUGGGCCAUAUGCUUAUUUUCUGUCUCUGAGCAUUUUUAUGCUUUCAGUAAGAGAGGGCAAUCCUACGGAAUGUAUGUCCUAUUCCUAUCAGUAGUCAGGUUUACAUGCUACUUCUCCAUACCAAAUCAUACACUGCAUGUCUCAGAGGCAAGACCUAGGUGAGGAGGAGGAGGCUGGCUGUGAAUGGUCACAUUAGCAGCUUUGGAUGGCACUAAUUCCUGCAUUUUAAUAUCAUCCAAAGAAAGGGUCAGUUACUGUUAGUGUUUCAUCUCCUAGCAACAACAGAGCCAGUAUAGAAAACAAAGUAUUGCCAGACUACACAGCUACAGCAACCUCUCAGAAGGCAAAAUGUUACACAUAUACAAUGAGUCUGUAGGGUAACAGAAAAAAAUAAGGAAAUAUUACUCUUUUUAACAGGCAAUUAAAACAUAAAAAUCCUGAAGAACUCAAGUGCCUUAGUUUCCUUGUGAUGUAGGAAAAUUUGGGGCUCAAAGACGUUGACCCUCCAGCAGUUUUACCUUAAGUUGCCCUGCUGUCUUCCCUCCUUUUGCUACCUCUGCCAUCUGCAUUAAAGCUAAGAGAGGCCUGCCUCUCUGCUUUCCACUCACAGCUUUCAUGGUGGGUGUGUAUUCCUAGAAACAGAAACUGUAGGUAGCUGGAUGUCUCAAGGAAGAAUAAAUCGACCGCUUAAUCUUCACUUCCCAGAUCACAGUUAUCUAAUAAAGCAGGCCUGUUCCUGUACAUGUUGGCCACUCAGGAAUACCAAUAGACUACCCAGGAGCUGUGCCGGUUGGCAAAUAGCAAACAUCUGUUCACAUCAUGGCCUUCUUGAUGGUGCUUGUGUAAUUAAUAGGACACUUCUCAACUAUUGAUAGGUCUUAUUCUCAGAAGAGUCUGAAUGCCUUGGGAGACAAAAUUAUACCUCCCAGACUGCAGGAAUCUAUCUGGGGAGGUAGCACUGGGAAAUGUAAAAAGGAUCCUUGCCUUGGACAUCUGUCAUGCUUCCCUGGGCACAGAAACAUCACAUCACAUGGCCAUCUGGAUGAAAGUUACACUGACACCAUUCUACUACAAGGUUUCCACCUGCAGACCCAACUGACUAACGCUCUGCAUGAGUGCUAACUUCACGUGCACACAACAUGAUUUGUGUGUUAAAGUUAAAAGAGUCUACGUAUGUUUUGUAGGAGGCUAUGCAAUUAGCUGAAAAAUUCACUUCAACAGUAUAUUGCUAUUUCAAUAGACUUAAUUUCAGUUAAUGAAUUCAGCAGCUGCUUUUAAGCUCUACACAAUGAAAUGUAAAUACAUCUCAUAACACAUUAAGGAGAGUCAAAUACAUACUGGUAUG
ensembl:lncRNA